rnacentral:lncRNA from 1 species
CUGGCGUCUGCACCUGCGACCACCGUGAGCAGUCAUGGCGUACUCCACAGUGCAGAGAGUCGCUCUGGCUUCUGGGCUUGUCCUGGCACUGUCGCUGCUGCUGCCCAAGGCCUUCCUGUCCCGCGGGAAGCGGCAGGAGCCGCCGCCGACACCUGAAGGAAAAUUGGGCCAGUUUCCACCUAUGAUGCAUCAUCACCAGGCACCCUCAGAUGGCCAGACUCCUGGGGCUCGUUUCCAGAGGUCUCACCUUGCAGAGGCAUUUGCAAAGGCCAAAGGAUCAGGUGGAGGUGCUGGAGGAGGAGGUAGUGGAAGAGGUCUGAUGGGACAGAUUAUUCCAAUCUACGGCUUUGGGAUUUUUUUAUAUAUACUGUACAUUCUAUUUAAGCUCUCAAAGGGGAAAACAACUGCAGAGGAUGGGAAAUGCUAUACUGCCACGCCUGGAAACACCCACAGGAAAAUUACCAGUUUUGAGCUUGCUCAACUGCAAGAAAAACUGAAGGAGACAGAAGC